rnacentral:rRNA from 1 species
AUACGUAGGUGGCAAGCGUUGUCCGGAAUUAUUGGGCGUAAAGGGCUCGCAGGCGGUUUCUUAAGUCUGAUGUGAAAGCCCCCGGCUCAACCGGGGAGGGUCAUUGGAAACUGGGGAACUUGAGUGCAGAAGAGGAGAGUGGAAUUCCACGUGUAGCGGUGAAAUGCGUAGAGAUGUGGAGGAACACCAGUGGCGAUGGCGACUCUCUGGUCUGUAACUGACGCUGAGGAGCGAAAGCGUGGGGAGCGAACAGGAUUAGAUACCCUGGUAGUCCACGCCGUAAACGAUGAGUGCUAAGUGUUAGGGGGUUUCCGCCCCUUAGUGCUGCAGCUAACGCAUUAAGCACUCCGCCUGGGGAGUACGGUCGCAAGACUGAAACUCAAAGGAAUUGACGGGG